rnacentral:rRNA from 1 species
AUUGAACGCUGGCGGCAUGCUUUACACAUGCAAGUCGAACGGCAGCGCGGGCUUCGGCCUGGCGGCGAGUGGCGAACGGGUGAGUAAUAUAUCGGAACGUACCCAAGAGUGGGGGAUAACGUAGCGAAAGUUACGCUAAUACCGCAUACGAUCUAAGGAUGAAAGCAGGGGAUCGCAAGACCUUGUGCUCCUGGAGCGGCCGAUAUCUGAUUAGCUAGUUGGUGAGGUAAAGGCUCACCAAGGCAACGAUCAGUAGCUGGUCUGAGAGGACGACCAGCCACACUGGAACUGAGACACGGUCCAGACUCCUACGGGAGGCAGCAGUGGGGAAUUUUGGACAAUGGGGGCAACCCUGAUCCAGCAAUGCCGCGUGAGUGAAGAAGGCC